rnacentral:pre_miRNA from 1 species
AUCACCUGGAGAUCAUGUUAAAAUGCAGAUACUGAUUCAGUGAAUCUGAGAAUCUGAGGAUUCUGCAUUUCUAGCAAGAUCCCAGGUGAUAUUGA